GACGAACGCUGGCGGCGUGCUUAACACAUGCAAGUCGAACGGAAAGGCCCUGCUUUUGUGGGGUGCUCGAGUGGCGACCGGGUGAGUAACACGUGUGUAACCUGUCCCUGACUUUGGGAUAUCUUCAGGAAACUGGGGCUCAUACCGGAUAGGAGCUCCUGCUGCAUGGUGGGGGUUGGUAAGUUUCGGCGGUUGGGGAUGGACUAGCGGCUUAUCAGCUUGUUGGUGGGGUAGUGGCUUACCAAGGCUUUGACGGGUAGCCGGCCUGGGAGGGUGACCGGGCACAGUGGGACUGAGAGAGGGCCAAGACGCCGACGGGAGGGAGCGGGGGGGAAGGGGACGCAAUGGGCGGGAGCGAGAGGCAGCAGCGGCGCGGGCGGGAGGGCGGCCUACGGGUUGUAAACCGCUUGCGCCUGUGACGAAGCGGGAGUGACGGUAAUGGGUAGAAAAGCACCGGCUAACUACGUG
rnacentral:rRNA from 1 species